UUUCUGAUUUCUCUUUUUUUAGCCUGUUCGGAUCAAGAGACUCUGCUAGACUAGGUUAACCUUAGACUCUUUUGUCAGUUCGGACUCCUCAGCCCAAGUACGAUUCUUUUGCACCUUCUUUUCCUUUUCUUUCUCAAAGGAUUGUUGCCCCAUUGAAGAUACAACUUCAAAGGUACAAAAAAACUCUUUUAACAUUUGAUGGAUUUCCUUCCACUAAACAUCACUGAAUUUACAACUAAAUUCAUAUUUUUUGCUGCUCUCAAAAAUACCAUAUGGUGAUACGAUUAUUUGGCCACCUCUAAUAAGUAUCUUUGAUCGCAUCAUGUGUGUUGGAUGCGAAAACAUCGGAUGCUAGAUCCAUAAUCAUAUAUAGGAUCCAUUCGUACUCUAGAACUAUUUGCAACUUUCAAUAUCAUUUAUCGAAGUUGGAUCCUAUAAAUAAAUCACUGUCAAACAGUGAUUGGAGCAAUAGACAUCUAGCCAUAAUUAAAAGAAAAAUACAAGACCUUUAUGUUUAUGAAUUGAUUAAGCCUAAAGACUUAGACUUUAGUCUAAAGAUUCUUCCACUAUUUUAGUUGAAUUGAUAAACUCUACCUCCAAUUCGAGGAAUUACUCUAAUUUCUUAGCGGGUAUUAGAAUCUACACAGUUGCACAUGAGUUCGAUGUUGGCGGGCUCAUCCAUAUACAUAUAUGGGUAGGUUCUUAAUCAAUUAUUUCAGUAAAUAAUUUUUAGUAAUUAAUUUUGCCCCAGAUAACUUUUUAGUUGACUUGUGACUCACAAGUCCUGGUUAAGUCCCACCAUUAAUAUGAUCAUAUUUAGGAAUCUAACUAUCAAAUAAUCAAGACCGACUUUGGCCGGCUAACCUGACUACUUGCUAGAGAGACUCGACUGAGUCAUCAUAUUAUCAAUGAUAAUUCCAAUAGCAGACGAGUAUCAAGCCUUUGGGCCUCUAAUGAUCAUCAUACCAAUGAACCCAUUAUCACCCAACUUAAUGAGAGGCUAUGAUUUAGUUAUCACUAUAACUAUCUCAUUUUAGGGAUUUAAUAAUUUAGAGAAUUUAAUUUAUGAAAUAAGAGAAGAGAAGAGAUCAAUCAGUAAACUACAAUCCUCCCACUGACUUCAUCAAGUCAUUAAAUUGGAUUAGGAUCAUGCUAGUUAAAAUGGCACCUAGAUCAGUCACACUGAUCAAUCUUAAUGGCAUGAGUCAACUCAAAUCACUUAACGGUCUAAUCAAGACAUAAUCCAUCAUCGCCAGAUAAGUGAGAUCGGUGGGAGGAUAUGCUAAGCUUGCCUUAGACACCAUCAAAAUAAUCAAAUAAGCCACUCUCAAUUAAAAAUCAUCGGUCAAAAUACCAAACUUACCUUAGACACCAAGUGGUUAAUUAAUUUCGAUUUGACCAACUUAAUGAUUCAGGUUCAACUAUUGAGCUACAAUCAAGGUCCAUUUGGUCUAAUCAAAGACAUGGACUUAACCAUCUACAACUAUUGUAUUGGUUCUAGAAAA
rnacentral:lncRNA from 1 species